rnacentral:rRNA from 1 species
AUUGAACGCUGGCGGCAGGCCUAACACAUGCAAGUCGAGCGGAGCGGCGGACGGGUGAGGAAUGGCUAGGAAUCUGAAUGGUAGUGGGGGAUAAGGUCAGGAAACGGGCGCUAAUACCGCAUACUAUCAGAUGAGCCUAGGUCGGAUUAGCUAGUUGGUGGGGUAAAGGCCUACCAAGGCGACGAUCCCUAACUGGUCUGAGAGGAUGAUCAGUCACACUGGAACUGAGACACGGUCCAGACUCCUACGGGAGGCAGCAGUGGGGAAUAUUGGACAAUGGGCGCAAGCCUGAUCCAGCCAUGCCGCGUGUGUGAAGAAGGUCUUCGGAUUGUAAAGCACUUUCAGUUGGGAGGCGUUACCAACAGAAUAAGCACCGGCUAACUUCGUGCCAGCAGCCGCGGUAAUUC